rnacentral:misc_RNA from 1 species
UUAAGUUCAGCGGGUAGUCCUACCUGAUUUGAGAUCAAACGUUCAAAAGUUGUCCUCGCUGCGGAGGGACAUCUAUGAGCCCCAGCGAACCUCCAUUGCUGAAGGUUAUCUGAUGUAAAACCACAAGCGUAGAUAGUUAUCACACCUGUGAUGCCACCAAACACUGGCAAGCUGAUUCAUUUAAGGGGAGCUGACUACAA